CAACUCAAUCACUACCAACAUAAUUCCAGGAGCCACGAGACAAUCUCUCACCCAAGGAAUUCCUUUUACAAUUAAAAUCCACAUCCAAAGAGGAACCAAAGACCAAGUCAAGAAGGGAUUUCAAAACCCUAGAUGGAUGGGAUUCUCCAACUAUAAAAGAGCAACCUCCAAAACCAGCAAGGGGAUCAUCUUUCGCAGCAUCUGCCAUCCUCGGAAAUUCUCCAGCAACACAGCAGAAACUUUCCUUCUUUCUUUUCUUCUUUAUUUUUGUGAAUUUUAGUCAC
rnacentral:lncRNA from 1 species